AUGGGAGUGGGUUGCACCAGAAGUAGCUAGUCUAACCUUCGGGAGGACGGUUACCACGGUGUGAUUCAUGACUGGGGUGAAGUCGUAACAAGGUAGCCGUAGGGGAACCUGCGGCUGGAUC
rnacentral:rRNA from 1 species